CGGACGGGUGAGUAACGCGUAAGAACUUGCCCUUUAGACUGGGAUAACAGAGGGAAACUUCUGAUAAUACUGGAUAAGUUAGUAUAUCGCAUGAUAUGCAAAUGAAAGCUACGGCACUAAAGGAGAGCUUUGCGUCCUAUUAGCUAGUUGGUAAGGUAAGAGCUUACCAAGGCGAUGAUAGGUAGCCGGCCUGAGAGGGUGGACGGCCACAAGGGGACUGAGAUACGGCCCUUACUCCUACGGGAGGCAGCAGA
rnacentral:rRNA from 1 species